rnacentral:lncRNA from 1 species
GUGUUGGUGGCAUGCAUGUGGUUGGUCCUUUUGUCCUUCAUUAUCCUAUGGCACCUAGUAAAGUAUCAAAGUGAAUGCUUUUCUUAUUCAAGUUUCCACAUGUUGUCUAAAAUACAAGAAGGUAAUAAAACGUUAGGUAGGCGUGUACAUGGGAAGACAGUUGUUAUUGAUGGUUGUUGAUGCAUGCGUUGAUAGAGUAAGAUGAUUGAGGAGAGAAAUUACUAGGAGGAUCGAAUCCAGAAAUAAUUCUAUCU